GGGUGUGUAGUAUAGCUUGGUAAGUAUUCUCGCUUUGGGUGCGAGAGACGUUGGUUCAAAUCCAUCCACACCCA
rnacentral:tRNA from 1 species